CUCAUACUCAUUUUCCUAACAAUGUUGUCAUUGGAAAUUCCUAUUUGCUAUGCAAACUAGAUCAUGAAUAACAAGAAAUAUUCUCUUGUUCAAAGUAGGCUUUGAAUUGUUUGGGCUUGAUGUAUUUAAUUGAACUUGUUGGGAAACUGACUAAGGAAAAGGUUUCUGAUGCCCAUUAUCUCUACUUGCAAGAGUUAGCACAUUUGCUAAUAAUGGUUAUUAAAUAUUCCAUAUUAGCAGUUGAUGUGUGAGUCAAUGAUUCCUACAAACCUUUUGGAAGUGGAAUUUACUACACAUCAAUUGACCCAAAGUGUAGUCUUUCUAAACAAUUAUUCUAGGGAAGUGUUGGAUAUGCUAGGCAAAGAGUAUUAAGGUAUUAUUACCGGAUGAAGUGACAAAUGUACUAUGGGAAUUAGCGUACAAAUGAGGGUAGUCUGUGAAGUGAUAAGUAUACUAUGGGAAUUAUUGUAGAAAUGAGGGUCAUAUAGUCUCUGAAAUUAUUUAAGUCUUUCCUCUAGCUGACUUAGCUUGAGUUGUAUUGUCAGAUAUUCAAUUAUUUAUAAAUAUUGAAGUCAUUUGACAUUUUUUCUAAUUAUUCACGAGAUUACUGCUUUAGAUUCAUUUGCUCCAAAUGUAUAACAUGCAUUUCUGUACUCAUUUUCACUCUUUUAACGUUCUUUAUAUUUUCCCUGAAGUUUUUGCUGAAAUCCCUACCUUUUUUUAACUAGCAUUUCAACAACUCCAUUGGCUGUCAGUUCCAUAUAAAGUGUUAAAAUCGUAUAUUUUAUGCUUCAACUGAAGGAUUUUCCUGUAUGCUUUUAUUCUUAUCCUGGAAGAUGUAACACAGCAAAGUUACCCAUAUGCAGACAUAAAAUUUUGAUGUCAUAGCAUUUCAACAUGAUGAUGGGAGGAUGUAAUCACUGUAGAUACCAAUUAAUUGUUAUCAGAACAGAAGUGCAUGCUAGAACAUUCUUUGCUUUUGCAUGGAGUAGGUACAUGCAUUACCUGUAACCAGAAUGCUGAAACGGGGACAUUGUAGGUCUGUAGUUUGUCCCAAACAUCUCGUACAAGAUCUGUGCCGCCCUGCAUUCCAACCACAGCACCAGAUAUAAUCCACUCAGGAAGCUCUGGUGGUCUUCCGAUGACUUCGGUGAAUUGUUCAAUAAACUCCAAAGCGGCUACAACAGCUGUUCGCUUUAAAAGAUGCCCAGACCAACCCAGUCGACGCCUCCUAAACCGGCUCAGCCUCUGCGAAAAGCCCUGCUAAUGCUGCGGAGACAAAGGCUUGUCCAGGGAUGGUAGACCAUAUGGGUCUGUUGGGCUGAGAUUGAUGAGAAAUUGAGAGAGACCCACCAUUCUUGGAUUGCCAAGUCAACUGAAAAUUCUUCCCAAUGCAAAAGAUUUGAUGUGAAGGGAGUGUUUGGGGAUUGAAAGAUAGAGUUCCUUGAAUACAAGGGAGAGAUUUUGGAUUUGAAGGGAAGGGGUUGUUGAGAUGUUUGUGGUGCUUUUUUGUGAUUUUGAGAGUUUCCAUUUUGGAUACAAGAGAGAGCUCAUGGAGUCAUGGGUAUAUAUAUAUAUAGGUUCAUAUAUCAAUAAACGUGUAUGUAUAUAUUGAAGGUGGUAUGUGGGGAAAAGAAAAGAUAAGAACUUCUUGCAUGAAAAUGCCCGUUGUUAUCCACACUGGUGAUAGAGAUGGUUUUGAAAGAUUGAUUUGGAACUUGGAACAAUGAAUUUGUUUAAGCUGUUGUACUAAAUUGACCAAGUUGCCCUCGUUAAUUAACAUUUAUGAAAUGGAUUGUUUUUUAUGCA